ACGCUCGACACCUACGAGGCAGCAGUAGGGAAUCUUCGGCAAUGGACGCAAGUCUGACCGAGCAACGCCGCGUGAGUGAAGAAGGUUUUCGGAUCGUAAAACUCUGUUGUUAGAGAAGAACAAGGAUGAGAGUGGAAAGUUCAUCCCUUGACGGUAUCUAACCAGAAAGCCACGGCUAACUACGUGCCUGCAGCCGCGGUAAUCUGAGCGGGCUGGCAAGGC
rnacentral:rRNA from 1 species